AUGGAGGCUGUGACAGCGAAUGAGACUGAACAGGUUUACCAAACUCACCGGAGGAUUGGUUGCAAAGUAUUUAUACAAAAGCUACAAACACAAGAGCUAUCCUCGAGUUUCAGGUCUGGACCAGAAUCAGUGGCUCCAGUCGAACCAGCGGAGCCUCGGAGACCACAGAGACCUGAAGACCUGGUGAUCCCUACGACACCCACAGAACCCAGUCUGAGCUCCAGCAGUGACGGAGGAGACAUGACCUGCUCAGACCUCCUUUCUCUGAGGAGCGACUCCGUGUCUCUGGCCAGUGAGCCGACGAUCUCCAGGACGGUGAGUGAACAUCCUGGUCCAACCCGUUCACUCACUGCUGAUCAAUAAUCUGAUUAUUAUAGAGACAGAUCAGGUUUCACAGAUCCUGUAAUGUUUAGUGUUGUAGAUCUCAGAUAUUUUGGUGUCCGUCCAACCUUCUGCUCACCUGUGCGACUCAGCCUCAGGUGUGAAACCACAUUUGUCCAACAACGAGUGAAUCUCUCUGAACAGAAAUAAAAAAAUAAAAACACGACCUCCAUCUUGUCGAGAUGAACCUCCUGAACUAAACAACAGCGAAACUCCCCUCUUAACAAAACAUUCAUGUUCCUCUGCAGAGCGAUCCAGUCCCAUCAGCAGCAGAAAGGCUCUCUUUAUGGCGGGGUCACCGGGGGGAAUAUGGAGCCCGGCGUACGAGCGGUGAGGCUGUAGCGUAAUCAUAAUUCCCUUGACCUCUGGUGACCCCUGCGAGGCUCCGACAACGAGGGCCACGCCACAGAACAGGCGGCUCCUUUCAAACCGCCGCUCGCUCCAAAAUGGCUUUUUCAUUUCUCAAACAAUCACAUGGCGGCGGCUGUGAAUGAGAGGGCAGAUUACAUAAGGCCGGGGUUCCCGGGGUGAGAUAAGUGCUUUCUCUCCCAGAAAGCCGGAGACUGAGAGCUCAUACCGGCAACGCCGUUAUCUUCCUGCGCUCUCAUUAACGCUCCCCUCUGACUCUCUGAAAGCAGCUACUGGCAAAACACGAUUGUUGGAAAAUCUCAAUUAAUAUGUAAAUGUGAGUGAGAUUCAUUACUUAUCAGAAUCAAUCCAACUUUAUUGGUCCAGCAGCUUUCAUACAGACCGCAACCAGGACUGUAAUUUAUCUGCGCUUUUAUUUUAGUAACGCACAAAUCACAAGUUGGUGAUAAUUUACAUCACUAGUUCCAACCUGAGGGUCAGGACCCCGCCAGGGGUCGCCAAAGCUUCCUGAGGGGUCGCGAGACCUUCUUGAUUUUAAUGGAUGUGAGAAAACUAAAAUAAAGAAAAAUAUACACUGUUAAAUAUUUAUCUUCACAGCGUCUUCCUGUCCAACUGUGGUUACUUUUAUUUUGGUUUCCCCUCUGGAUCUGAUCUACUCAUCAGAGGCCCGUCAGUCUCAGCCAGUGUUCACCUGUUAAUCAAUAAUACGGCCUGACGGUUCGAGAACUGUGACAGUGGGAGACAUGGCGUCACAACUCAGUGAUGGUAAAGCAAAGAGCGUCUCAUCACUGUUAGUGUGAAGGUUUGUAAAGGAUCAAUGUCUGGAUCCUAAAACUCUUUAAAGAUCAGUGGAACUGACCACAACCAUUAGAAGAUCCUCCAGGUUCAGCUUUAAUUAUAUUAUUAUAUAUUUAUAUUUAUAUGUGUGUGUGUGUGUGUGUGUGUGUGUGUGUGUGCAUUGAAAGCAACCUGAACUCACAUUGAGUCCUGGUCAAUACGAAGGAAUACAAAUACUUUAAAACACAAAUACAAUAAAAUAAACAAUUCAGUAAAUUAUAAUAAAA
rnacentral:lncRNA from 15 species